rnacentral:lncRNA from 1 species
AAUAUAAAGGAUUUAUUUUUAAUGCAGUUAUUGUAUUCCACUAGUGUAUAAUACGAGAUACAACCAUUAGAGACAUCAGUUUAAAGAAAAACUCAAGAUGUUUGUCAAGUACAUGAAAUAUUACACUAAGUAAAUAUUUAAUAUGGUUGUUUUUACUUUUUUAUAAUACUUGACCACUAACUGUGUAUUCAUUCUUAAGAUGCGAUCACAUCUGCGACCUUUCUGCAAAGUUUUGUGGACAAAAAAGGUCUAUUGUUAAUAGUGUAGUGAUAUAUGAAGCUCAGUUCAUACAGAGCAAUUAGCAAUAAGUCAUUGAAAUUUCACAGACAAAAAAGGUCUAUUGUUAAUAGUGUAGUGAUAUAUGAAGCUCAGUUCAUACAGAGCAAUUAGCAAUAAGUCAUUGAAAUUUCACAGACAAAAAAGGUCAGUUUUAUGUCUAUAGUAUAGAUAUGAAGCACAGCUAACAUAAAAAUCACUUUCAAACCAAGCUUUCUCUUGGUUAUAUUUCUGUUCUAUUUCUCAUCACGACAACUUCAGUGUACCAACUUGAAAAUGAGUAAAAUCCAUUUAGGGAACAGUUUCGCCUUCAUGCAAAAUUCCCAUUUAAAUGAUUGCAUAUCUCUAUGGAAGCCCAUUUCCACCACUGAAUAAAAAAUAAAAAGGUAAUUAGUGAAUUUUUAUCUAACAAUUCUGACUUUUUUAUCAUAACUGGGUGAUACAAACUCGCAAUUCAGACUUUUUUUCUUGCAAUUGCUAGUUAAAAAGUCAUAAUUGUGAGAUAUAAACUCGCAAUUCUGAGAAAUAAAGUCAGAAUUGCAUGAUAUAAACUCACAAUUCUGACUUUUUUUUCUCAGAAUUGCGAGUCACAAUUAUGAGAUAUAAACUUGCAAUUCUAAGAACAUAUCAGUCCCCCCAAUUCUGACUUUAUAUCUCACAAUUCUGACUUUAUAACUCACAAUUUUGAGUUUAUAUCUCACAAUUCUGUGAAAAAAAGUUAAAAAGUUGCAAUAACCUUUUUUUUAUUUUUUAUUCAAUGGUGGAAACGGGCUUCCAUAUAUCUCCCACAAAAAAAUAGACAAAUAUCUAUACAUGUGACUGCACCUUGAGUUGUAGCCUAUGUUGUAUAAACUGUGCUGCAUAUUCUUUCUUACUAAACCAAAAAUAAAUUAUAAGUUUUGCUUUAUCACGGUUCAGGUAUCAUUUGGUUUUAUGUGAAAAAAAAAUUUAUUCUCUGAAAAAAGGAAAGCUGGUAGCACAUUUUCGUAAUUCUUUUUUCUUCAUGACACUUACUUUACUUCUAUCACUCGUUCAUCCAAGGACCAUGUAAUGUAGCUGCAGUGUUUAUCAUUUGUUCUUGUUUUGCUCUAAUGAUUCAGAUAAAAGGCCUGCGCUGCAUUACUAACAACUGAUCAACAUCAAACAACAAAUGCAACAUAUUUUGUUUGUCAAGUUGAACUGAGACAUGCAAUUAAUUUGUAAUAAUGUUCUUUUCAUUAAGUGUUUGUUUAGGCUUGUAAUUAUGUGCUUAGCUGAUGUAUCAGGACUGUCCAGUAUGUAGACAUGGGUAAUACUUUACAAUCAGAUCAUUUUAGUUGACAUAAUUAAAUGCAUUAACCAACAAUGAGCAAUACAUUUGUUACACUAUUUAUUAAUCUUAGUUAAUGUUAGUUAAUAAAAAUACAACAGUUCACUGUUUGUUCAACUUAGCUCAGGUCCAUUAAAUAAU